GAAUUCGCCCUUAGAGUUUGAUCCUGGCUCAGGACGAACGCUGGCGGCGUGCUUAACACAUGCAAGUCGAACGAGAAUCUGCUGAAGGAGGAUUCGUCCAACGGAAGCAGAGGAAAGUGGCGGACGGGUGAGUAACGCGUGAGGAACCUGCCUUGAAGAGGGGGACAACAGUUGGAAACGACUGCUAAUACCGCAUGACGCAUAGAGGUCGCAUGAUCUUUAUGCCAAAGAUUUAUCGCUUCAAGAUGGCCUCGCGUCUGAUUAGCUGGUUGGCGGGGUAACGGCCCACCAAGGCGACGAUCAGUAGCCGGACUGAGAGGUUGAACGGCCACAUUGGGACUGAGAUACGGCCCAGACUCCUACGGGAGGCAGCAGUGGGGAAUAUUGGGCAAUGGGCGCAAGCCUGACCCAGCAACGCCGCGUGAAGGAAGAAGGCUUUCGGGUUGUAAACUUCUUUUAAGAGGGAAGAGCAGAAGACGGUACCUCUAGAAUAAGCCACGGCUAACUACGUGCCAGCAGCCGCGGUAAUACGUAGGUGGCAAGCGUUGUCCGGAUUUACUGGGUGUAAAGGGCGUGCAGCCGGGUCUGCAAGUCAGAUGUGAAAUCCAUGGGCUCAACCCAUGAACUGCAUUUGAAACUGUAGAUCUUGAGUGUCGGAGGGGCAAUCGGAAUUCCUAGUGUAGCGGUGAAAUGCGUAGAUAUUAGGAGGAACACCAGUGGCGAAGGCGGAUUGCUGGACGAUAACUGACGGUGAGGCGCGAAAGUGUGGGGAGCAAACAGGAUUAGAUACCCUGGUAGUCCACACUGUAAACGAUGAAUACUAGGUGUGCGGGGACUGACCCCCUGCGUGCCGCAGUUAACACAAUAAGUAUUCCACCUGGGGAGUACGAUCGCAAGGUUGAAACUCAAAGGAAUUGACGGGGGCCCGCACAAGCGGUGGAUUAUGUGGUUUAAUUCGAAGCAACGCGAAGAACCUUACCAGGGUUUGACAUCCUGCUAACGAAGUAGAGAUACAUUAGGUGCCCUUCGGGGAAAGCAGAGACAGGUGGUGCAUGGUUGUCGUCAGCUCGUGUCGUGAGAUGUUGGGUUAAGUCCCGCAACGAGCGCAACCCCUAUUGUUAGUUGGUACCAUUAAGUUGACCACUCUAGCGAGACUGCCCGGGUUAACCGGGAGGAAGGUGGGGAUGACGUCAAAUCAUCAUGCCCCUUAUGUCUAGGGCUACACACGUGCUACAAUGGCAAGUACAAAGAGAAGCAAUACUGUGAAGUGGAGCAAAACUCAAAAACUUGUCUCAGUUCGGAUUGUAGGCUGAAACUCGCCUACAUGAAGCUGGAGUCGCUAGUAAUCGCGAAUCAGAAUGUCGCGGUGAAUACGUUCCCGGGUCUUGCACUCACCGCCCGUCA
rnacentral:rRNA from 1 species